rnacentral:rRNA from 1 species
AGGGUUCGAUUAUGGCUCAGGAUGAACGCUGGCGGCGUGCUUAACACAUGCAAGUCGAACGAAGCACUCUAUUUGAUUUUCUUCGGAAAUGAAGAUUUUGUGACUGAGUGGCGGACGGGUGAGUAACGCGUGGGUAACCUGCCUCAUACAGGGGGAUAACAGUUAGAAAUGACUGCUAAUACCGUAUAAGCGCACGGUACCGCAUGGUACAGUGUGAAAAACUCCGGUGGUGUGAGAUGGAUCCGCGUCUGAUUAGGUAGUUGGUGAGGUAACGGCCCACCAAGCCGACGAUCAGUAGCCGACCUGAGAGGGUGACCGGCCACAUUGGGACUGAGACACGGCCCAA